rnacentral:rRNA from 1 species
GAAAAGAAACUAACAAGGAUUCCCCUAGUAACGGCGAGUGAAGCGGGAAGAGCUCAAAUUUGAAAUCUGGCAGUCUUCGAUUGUCCGAGUUGUAAUCUAUAGAGGCGUUUUCCGUGCCGGACCGUGUCCAAGUCUCCUGGAAAGGAGUAUCAAAGAGGGUGAUAAUCCCGUACUUAACACGACCACCGGUGCUCUGUGAUACGUCUUCUACGAGUCGAGUUGUUUGGGAAUGCAGCUCAAAAUGGGUGGUGAAUUCCAUCUAAAGCUAAAUAUUGGCGAGAGACCGAUAGCGAACAAGUACCGUGAGGGAAAGAUGAAAAGCACUUUGGAAAGAGAGUUAAACAGUACGUGAAAUUGUUGAAAGGGAAACGAUUGAAGUCAGUCGUGUUCUUUGGAUUCAGCCAGUUCUGCUGGUCUACUUCCUUGGAACGGGUCAACAUCAGUUUUGUCCGGUGGAUAAAGGUAGUAGGAAUGUGACUUCUCCGGAAGUGUUAUAGCCUAUUAUCACAUACACUGGGUGAGACUGAGGACUGCAGCUCGCCUUUAUGGCCGGCCUUCGGGCACGUUCGAGCUUAGGAUGUUGACAUAAUGGCUUUAAACGA